rnacentral:rRNA from 1 species
GUCCACGGCCAUACCACCCUGAACGUGCCCAAUCUCGUCUGAUCUUGGAAGCUUAGCAGGGUCGGGCCUGGUUAGUACUUGGGUGGGAGACAGACGUGUUUUGUGUC